GGGGGAAACACUUCAUGUAACUGUUUGUCCAUAUGUGCUCUCAUCAUCAAUGAACUAAAAUGCAUUUUAUUAAAAUACAUGAGCGAUUGUAUGUGAACGUCACAAUAGCGCUUUUGCGCAUGCGCCAAAAUUCAAACACACCCGCGCUAACGGCAGAGUCUGAGCAAUGGCUGCGGCUAAACAAACAGUCAUCUGCAGUAAGAUGUUUUUCUUAGUGGAAGGAUAACAAAUGUGCCAGUACCUUCACAUAAUAAACGACAAUGAUUUUAUAGACGGGCACGAAGACAGACCGACAUCACUGAGUGGAGCGGAUGAAACGCCUUUGAAUGUGGCAGCGGUGCAGGUAAUGAGUCCCGAAAUUCUCAGAAAAUAGAAAUGGAGGCCGAACCUGCAGAUGUGGAUGGCAGUGAUGUGAAUGAUGGAGCAUCUACACAGAAAAGAUGCUGGAAUCCAGAAAUUUCUUCACCUGGGGCCUACUGGGGAUGGCAAUAAACAAAAAACUAACCAAGCUGUGGGAAUACAAACCUGUAGACCUUUAGCUGAACCACUACAAUUGAUGUUCUGUUUCUUAUGCCUGUUCAGUGUUUUGAUCAGUUAUAUAUGUAAUUGUUUCUUUUUUGUCCUGUUUGAUUGUGCAGGUCAGUAACUUUUUUUUUUCUAUUUAAAUAAAUUCUGUUUAAAUAAAGAUGCUUCUUUGUGUAACUUUCUGUACCAUUUAACAUUUAAGGCUAAAGGUGUGAAAUGUGCAAUGCACUGCAACUUUGUAGAGUGUCUUACAUGUGUCUACAACCUCUAUUUAAAGAUCAAAGAUCACAUAUUAAAAUAUUAAAUAUAUGAUACCAUAUAUUUCAUGCAUAUAUGUCUAAUUUGUAUACAACAUAAUAAAAACAUACAUAUAUCUCACAUAUAUUAAUAAUUAUAUACAUUUCAUAUAUGGCAAUGCAUGUAUUAUACAUACAUAAACAUAUAUUUUUGUAUGGGGUAGACUUAUAUGUCAAUAUAUGAAAUUGUUCCAUUUUCUAAUAGGAAUCAUAUAUGGAUAUGGCAUAUAUAAACAUGUAUUCAAUAUAUGGGUAUUUCAUAUAAGCACAUAUAUUACAUUUCCGUAUGGGC